rnacentral:rRNA from 1 species
ACUCCUACGGGAGGCAGCAGUGGGGAAUAUUGCACAAUGGGCGCAAGCCUGAUGCAGCCAUGCCGCGUGUGUGAAGAAGGCCUUCGGGUUGUAAAGCACUUUCAGUCGUGAGGAAGGUAGUGUAGUUAAUAGCUGCAUUAUUUGACGUUAGCGACAGAAGAAGCACCGGCUAACUACGUGCCAGCAGCCGCGGUGAUACGUAGGGUGCGAGCGUUGUCCGGAUUUAUUGGGCGUAAAGGGCUCGUAGGUGGUUGAUCGCGUCGGAAGUGUAAUCUUGGGGCUUAACCCUGAGCGUGCUUUCGAUACGGGUUGACUUGAGGAAGGUAGGGGAGAAUGGAAUUCCUGGUGGAGCGGUGGAAUGCGCAGAUAUCAGGAGGAACACCAGUGGCGAAGGCGGUUCUCUGGGCCUUUCCUGACGCUGAGGAGCGAAAGCGUGGGGAGCGAACAGGCUUAGAUACCCUGGUAGGAUAG